UUGACCUCAAAUCAGGUAGGACUACCCGCUGAACUUAAGCAUAUCAAUAAGCGGAGGAAAAGAAACUAACAAGGAUUCCCCUAGUAACUGCGAGUGAAGCGGGAAAAGCUCAAAUUUAAAAUCUGGCGGUCUUUUGGCUGUCCGAGUUGUAAUCUAGAGAAGUGCUUUCCGCGYUGGACCGUGUACAAGUCU
rnacentral:rRNA from 1 species